rnacentral:rRNA from 1 species
AACGUAAGUUAUUGAUAGUACCGUUCUUGGAUACUGCGGUAUUCUGGAGCUAAUACAUGCAACAAGCCCCGACUCACGGAGGGGCGCUUUUAUUAUAUCAAAACCAAACAGCUUCGGCUGUCUCGCUUGGUGACUCUGAAUAACUUUGGGCUGAUCGCAUGGGCUAGCGCCGGCAACAUUUCCGUCGAAGGUGUGCCCUAUCAACUGUCGACUGUGGCAUAGACGCCCACAGUGGUUUUGACGGGUAACGGGGAAUCAGGGUUCUAUUCCGGAGAGGGAGCCUUAAAAACGGCUACCACAUCUAAGGAAGGCAGCGGGCACGCAAAUUACCCAAUGACCGAAGGUCGAGGUAGUGACAAAAAAUAACGAUAGCGGACUCAUCCGAGGCCCGCUAAUUGGAAUGAGUACACUUUAAAACCGUCCCCGAGGAUCUAUUGGAG